ensembl:lncRNA KIFAP3-AS1 KIFAP3 antisense RNA 1
AGAGAUGCAGAAGGCAAAAUAGCUUAGGGUAAAACAACAAGACCAGGUGACUCUGAAGUAAAAUUUUAAAUUUAAACAAACUUUCUAUAUAUUAUGUUUAAUAUGGCAAGAUCCAUUCUAUAUAUUAGAAAUGAUUUUUAUUCAGAAAGCUUCAAUCACCUGGAAUAUUAACUAAUAUGGAAUACAUUUCUUAAUGAAGCAAUAUCAUUCGGUACGAGUAUCCUCAGCAAGAUUCAGAAGCAAAUAAAGAGCAACUAGAAAAGUAAAAUAUAUGAGAGAUAAAGAAUUAGUAUACUGAAUUAAUAAUUUAGAAAAUCAUUUCUACUCACCAAGGCAACAGA